rnacentral:lncRNA from 1 species
GGACCCGGCAAUGAGGCAGUGCUUACCAGGUUCUCCAAGGCCACCCCAGCCGAAACGCGGAAAGAGUCCUGAUCAGCCUGACUCCAUUUCAGCUCAGACACUGCCCUGCCAGUUUGUACUUCCCUUAAUCACCACGUCCUCACUCUGGACACCGUAUCGGGAUGUGAGGCAGGGAACCUAUUCACAGCUCCAAAGAGGCCUGGUCCCCUGUUUGGAUCUCCCCAAAGGGUACUUACUUGUUUUCUCCGCUCUUUGAGAUUUUUGCUUAAUUUCAAAUUUCCAAAAUAUGCCAUAAGUGAACACUAAAAAUGUUGGAACACUAUGGCUACUCUACUAUGCUUGGGCAGGGAAAAUUAACAGCUGAUAAACUGUGAGUACAAAGGAUGCCAAAGUUCAUUCUGAGUUUUAAUAUCAUCUAGAUAAAAAACAAGAAAAGCAGCAAGUCUACACCUCAGCGCUCUCUCCAAGUGACACACCCACUCACAUCUGCACACACAUUACUCACACUCAUACACACUCUGUCACCCUCACAUACAUUCACAUUUACUCACAUGUCCUCUAGGCCACACACAUGAACACCCACACGCAGAGAUGCCCCAGUACGUUUGGACACACAUAGCAGAGGCUCACCCCCAGAGCUUACAUGAGAACAAGAGAACACGCCUUUCUAGCCUCACACUACUCAGCACUAGAAUCUACUGGUCCAACAAGGCUAGUCUCAUUAGAAUGCCGUAAACUUACCCUGCAAAUCAGUGUUGGCCAGUCUCUGUGUUUUUUGUGGAUGAAUCCCCCAAAUGAUUUCAUUCAUCUUUCAAAGCUCAGCACCAAUCCAAUCUCCCUCAUAAAGUCUUCCUCAACUACUAUUAAUACCUCACCUCUAUGAAAGGCAGAGUGGCCAGUGGAAUGCAGCUCACAAGCAAAACUGGGGACCCGCUGCUAGAGCCCGGUGCCUUCCUGUCUGCAGCCUGGAGGCGGCUUUGACUGGCUCACUGAGUCUCCCAGCCCUUGGCACAGAACAGGCCCUUCGUCAACAAUGAACCUUCUCAUUGACUCUUAAGAAGCUGUGACUUUAUUCUGUAGGUAAUGGAAAUUCAGUGGACACUUCUAAGAAGAUUAACCCUGGGAGCUAAGUGAUGAGAACUUAUGAACACAAAGAAGGAAACAAAAGUCACUGGGGUCUACAGGGUGGAGGGUGGAAGGUGGGAGGAAGGAGAGGAGAAGACAAGAUAACUGUUGGGUACUGGGCUUGAUACCUGGGUGAUGAAAUAAUAUGGACAACAAACCCCUGUGACACAUCUCUACCUAUGUGACAUGUCUUUACCUAUGUUACCUAUUUAACAAAUAAAAGUUAAAAAAAAAGAAAAUUACAGAACACUGCUGGAAGAAAUAUUUAAAUAUUUAAAAAGAUUAACACAAUCAAAUCUGUGUCAUAGGAAAAACAAGUUUGGCAGUGGGGGUGGGAGGGGCUAGAUUCAAAGGGAGAAAAGCUAGAGGCAGGGAGACGGACAGUUAUUACAUUUCUGCAUGGGUUCAGUUUGUCAGCGGGCUCAUGAGCUGCUAGCUCCAGAAGAUGCCUGAGACCCCACGUAGUCCAAUUUCUUCACCUACAGCUGAGAAAACUGAGGUGGGGAGAAGAGAAGACACAGCACGUUCUAGCAAAAAGUCAACAAAGACAUGUAGCAAAACCAGACCUUUGCUACCCAACCUCAAGGCACAUACGCCACAGUGGAGGAUCAAGGCAGAGACAUAGGCAGCAGAAGAAAGAUCCAGAACAUAACAGGACCUAAUUACUUCCAACAUGAGUGACAAAGACCAUAAACCCCAAAGGAAUUGCAGCGAGGGAAGCAUCAGCACAAGCUGAGAGACACGGAGUGGAAUUUGUACUGGAAAAUGCAUGUCCAGGAAUUGUGAGUAGGCGUUGGGGGACCCCUCAGGAGUCCACCCAACUGACGGAAGAGAGUUAACAUGGGAUACAUGUGGUUGGACACAUGGGAUGCAGCAGGGGUAGCUCACGGAGGGCACUGAACCUCAAACUAAUGAAUCUGGACCAGACUUAAUUGGCAAAAUAUAGUCAGUGCAACUGCACCGGACCAAUCUGGCUCAACUUUUUUUUUUUUUUUUUUGAGACAGAUUUUUGCUCUGUCGCCAGGAUGGAGUGCAAUGGCGCAAUCUCGGCUCACUGCAACCUCCACCUCCUAGGUUCAAGCGAUUCCCCUGCCUCGCCUCCCGAGUAGCUGGGAUUACAGGCAUGCGCCACCACGCCUAGCUAAUUUUUGUAUUUUUAGUAGAGAUGGGGUUUCAUCAUGUUGGCCAGGCUGGUCUCAAACUCCUGACCUCAGGUGAUCCACCCAUCUCAGCCUCCCAAAGUGCUGGGAUUACAGGCGUGAGCCACCACACCCCACCCAGCUCAACUUUUAUGUAACAAAGUUAUGACUUGUUUUUCAGUCAUCAUGGACUCCCAGGUUGAAGGUCACAUGACCUGAGCCUGCCCAGGAGAUCUAAGUGUGCAACCACAGUGGGGACCUACGUGCUGGGACGGAGGAGCAGGGACUGAGUUAAGAAGCAGACACUGGAUGGUAGGAUCCGGGAUCCAAUCAGAUGGAGCUCCGGCAUCAUCCCAUGGCAGGAAGCAGUCAAACCAUGCCUCCCGGCAUCACCUCAUUGCAAGAUCCAUUUAGACCACACCUCAUUACCCUGCGCUUAUAAAACACAAACCAAACCCCAGCUUGGGGAGACAGACUUGAGCAUUUCCUACUGUCUCUUUGCCAGUUGAGUCGCAAUAAAGCUUUUUCUUUUCUCAAAAGCUGGCACAAUGGUAUUGGCCUCUAUGCGCAUUGGGCGUCAAGCCACUGAUUGCUAGGUUACAAGUGUUCUUGAAUAUAAGAACAGCUGGAUUAAAUUUGUAUCUUAGGAAGAUUUCAUCAGUCAGCCUUCAGUAUGAUUUAGAGAGGAGAGUAGAGUUGGAAUGACAGUUUUGAAGCUCAUGUAAAAAGUCAGUGUAUCUAUCAUUGUGCAUUGAAUAAUCCCAUAACUUAGUGGCUUAAAACAAUAAUCAGUGACUUGUAUCUCUCAAAGUUUCUGUGGAUCAGGAAGUCAGGAAUGGCUUGGCAAGGGUAGUCCUGGCUCAGUCAUGAGCUGGAGGCUUCAAGCAAAUGUCAGCCCCUGACCGCAAGUAACUUACCCGCCUCGGCCUCCCAAAGUGCUGGGGUUACAGGCAUGAGCCACCACGCCCGGCCUCCCUGCUUUAUUAUCUCCAUUUUGUAACUGACAGACACUAAUCCAAAAACCUCAGAGCUGAGGAAGCACAACCUUCAGACCAACUCUCAGAAGCAGGGCGGAAUGAGAAAGACACAGAACAGUACAAUGUUUGAAUCAUGAUGAAGCCUUUCAACAGCAUCAUCCAGGCUCAUCCUUCACUAAACCUCCCUACCUGCCUCCUGCCCCAUCCCUUCAUUUAGAGCUGGGUUCCUGCUGUGGGCAAACAUCUACUAGGGCCUGUAUGGGAGUAAAGCAGACCUCAGUUAGGGAGGCCAGCAGCAGAAAAACUCGACUUUCACUUUGGGUUUCUGUUUGACUCUUGAAAGCCACAUCACCAGGCCUCUUAUGCAGCUAGGAGCUAUGAAGGUGCAGGGAAAGAGCAAGAUCAGGGAGGGCAGCUCACAGAAAGCCUGUGCCUACCCACGUAACUGAAUUCUGCCACUUCAUGGAUACUGUGAAAGAACGCUCCACUUAAAGAGAGUCACUACACAGAUACCCUAACCUGUAAAACACAAUAACUGGGAACCAAUCAGCAAAAAGGUACUUUGGUCUAAUUUUUAGAGGAAUUGGUCUCCAAACAAGUCCCUCAGAACUAGUCAUGACAAUCUACUGGAGAUGGAAAGAGAUCUUAGAAAUUCAAUCCUACCUAGUGAAGAAAUUAAGUUCUAGCUGUUUCCUGUGUGACUGCUGCUGCUCUUCCUUUCUCUACACAUCAGCUGUGCAUGGCCCCCAGGUUGGGCGCCAUGCACAGCUAUCCUGGGGGUCUGGAUGGUGGUGGCCUGUGGCUCUCAUUUUUUCACUCCUUCACUCCUUCCACUGCUGCUGUGUGAGGCAGUUACCUGUGUCCAUUUAGACUGUCUAGUUUUAACCAGAUUCAUGCUUACAAAACAGGCAUAAAAGAUUCCUGCAAAGAAACUGCAGAGGGAAAAUAAAGUUAACCAAGAAAGCCAGCUGAUCCAGCAGAAAGGAGCAAUGGUGGCCUUUUCCCUACUCCUGACACAAGCUCUUCAACAGCCAUGAUAACAGAUAAAACAAUGGCAAUCGAAUCAGACCAGGCGAACAUUCAGCCACAAACACUGAAACCAUCAAGAAGAUGUAAAGACUGGAUUUAUAGCCACUAUCAAUCUCUCUUAUGUGUGUGUUGUGCCGUGACAGUGGCUAAUGAUAGCAUAAACCAUCCAGACAUUGACAGGCUAAACGAGAACAUGCAUAAAAGGACAGACCUUUACAGGUUCUUCAGCAAUGGUUAAAGUGAGGAAAUGUUUAAUUAAUCCACCACUUUGAAAGCUCACUGCACUUAACAACAAAUUUAAAAACUUCUUUCACAUCUUCUCACUUCAUAACAGUAGACUAAAAACAUCACUUAACAUUUGGGAAAUGCACAAUUUUUUCCCUACUAGGGAAUUAGAUUUCCUUGCUAGAGAAAAAAAAAAUGGCUGAAAUAAAAUACGAAAAACA